rnacentral:rRNA from 1 species
GAUGAACGCUGGCGGCGUGCCUAAUACAUGCAAGUCGAGCGAACGGACGAGAAGCUUGCUUCUCUGAUGUUAGCGGCGGACGGGUGAGUAACACGUGGAUAACCUACCUAUAAGACUGGGAUAACUUCGGGAAACCGGAGCUAAUACCGGAUGAUAUUUUGAACCGCAUGGUUCAAAAGUGAAAGACGGUCUUGCUGUCACUUAUAGAUGGAUCCGCGCUGCAUUAGCUAGUUGGUAAGGUAACGGCUUACCAAGGCAACGAUGCAUAGCCGACCUGAGAGGGUGAUCGGCCACACUGGAACUGAGACACGGUCCAGACUCCUACGGGAGGCAGCAGUAGGGAAUCUUCCGCAAUGGGCGAAAGCCUGACGGAGCAACGCCGUGUGAGUGAUGAAGGUCUUCGGAUCGUAAAACUCUGUUAUUAGGGAAGAACAUAUGUGUAAGUAACUGUGCACAUCUUGACGGUACCUAAUCAGAAAGCCACGGCUAACUACGU